AUACCUUUCUCGGCCUUUUGGCUAAGAUCAAGUGUAGUAUCUGUUCUUAUCAGUUUAAUAUCUGAUACGUGGUUCAUUGGAUCACAUGAUAUUAAAUUUAUUUUUUGAGUGGGGGAGUCCAACGCAGUAGCUUGCUACUGGGCUCUCGAGCGUCGCCCAGGUUUUGCACUAUUGCUUGGGCCUGGCGCACCACAC
rfam:Gossypium raimondii Chr05_contig_182, whole genome shotgun sequence.